rnacentral:rRNA from 1 species
GACGAACGCUGGCGGCGUGCUUAACACAUGCAAGUCGUACGGUAAGGCCCUUUCGGGGGUACACGAGUGGCGAACGGGUGCGUAACACGUGAGUAACCUGCCCACAACUUUGGGAUAACGCUAGGAAACUGGUGCUAAUACUGGAUAUGUGCUCCUGCUGCAUGGUGGGGGUUGGAAAGCUCCGGCGGUUGUGGAUGGACUCGCGGCCUAUCAGCUUGUUGGUGGGGUAGUGGCCUACCAAGGCGGGGACGGGUAGCCGGCCUGAGAGGGUGACCGGCCACAUUGGGACUGAGAUACGGCCAAGACUCCUACGGGAGGCAGCAGUGGGGAAUAUUGCACAAUGGGCGCAAGCCUGAUGCAGCAACGCCGCGUGCGGGAUGACGGCCUUCGGGUUGGAAACCGCUUUCAGCAGGGACGAAGCUUUUUGUGACGGUACCUGCAGAAGAAGCACCGGCUAACUACGUG